rnacentral:lncRNA from 1 species
CUGAAUACAAAUAUAUAGAAGAUUCAUACAUUGGGUCCUCACUGAGAUGCCUUUGGGAACUCUUAGACAACUCAAGUUCCCUCUCUCAGAAAAGUCUGAAGGCAGCCCAGGCCCUCUGACCCGCGGAGCAGUCUCGGCCAGUGACCAGCAUGGCUCUCACCAGCCUCGGCUCCUAAUCCCUGGAUGAGACGAGCUGACAGCUUAACGGGGAAACUGGACCAAGUUGUGGACACACAGAGCUCUUGAUAGAAGCACCUUUGUCGCUCCCACACACACGCUUCCUCCUCCACUCCUCACUCCCACCCCACCUGUGAGCUUCUUCCUCUUCUCCUACCUGCCUUUCUCCAAACGCAGCCUGAGGGCUGGAUCCCUGGCUUUGAUAUCAGGGACGAUGCUGCUCAUAAUACAGAUGUCAUCAGGUGACAGAAUUCAGGGAGAGAAUGGCAUGUUUGACAUCCGUGAAUUCCUGACAGCCACACACAAGGACCGAACACACGCCAUGUGCCAGGAGCAGGGAUUGCAGAGCCAACAAGACUCCACGCAGGCCGCCAGGCUUGCCCAGGCUCCUGUCUCUGAAGAAGACAGUUAUUCCUAAGCACCAACAGCCACAGGGGAUCGUUGGCUGAGGGUCUACAGGAGACUUACAGUUUACUCCUCGACGAAAGGACUUGUGGGAGCGUGGUCAGCAGCGACACCCCUGCAGAAAGGCCGGUCCUCCCCCAGCCCAGCCGGUCUAGCCACCCUGACAGCCACGCUCACUCCUCCGAACCUCCCAGGCAGCAGCUUGGCCGACCCUGAGGCUCUGUGAGGCCUGUGUUGCCAGCUUGCCUUCUUCCUCUGCCCUGUCCUGCUUCCUCCCCCUUCCUCUCCCAGGACUCCAUCCCUAAUAAACAUCUUGCACCUCUAACUCCAUCUCAGAGUCUGCUUUUGGAGAAGCCUG